GGAGAUUUUGUUAUGGUCCAGUGAAAACAAGGAAGAACUUUUUGUCCAUAAUUCCAAAAGGUAAGUCUGGUGAAAAGAGAACACUGCUCAUCAUCAAAAGAACACCAUACUUCAGUGAAAUGCUGGAACUGGGGCCUUCGUCAAGGUGGAGGAGAUUUCUUAACAGUUUGAUACGGCAGUGAGAGUUAACACACAACUUUCAUUCUAAAUAUCAGGAAAUGUCUACUAGAACAGCGGAAAUUCAUUCGAGGUUAAUCAGAGGCAUAUUAUCAGGUGUGUGCCAUCUGUCAUUUAACAGUUUUCAUAGCGUAAUUGGUACACGUGAACACAGCCACAUCCCCACUUAUUUUUAAUUCCUCUCUCAAAGAAUAUUUUUUUUACUCUUGUCAAACAAGUCAUAGGUUGCAUUCAUGGUAGAGAGUUUUUCAAUGUUUUAUCUUGGUCCAUUUUUUUUAUAUGUAUUAAAAAAUGUCACAUUUGAACAGCGGUGUGGAGACUUUGGAUUUCCGCUACAGAUGAACUUAUGACAAAUCAAGAGUGGAAAACGUAUAGGCCAAAGUGUGUCGUCCACGCCAAGCGAUCAGCAGACACGAAACAUAGCGACUGAUAUGAUGUCUGCUAACAUGCAUCCUUGGGCUGACUCGGGGAAGGAUCCCUGAAAGCGAUGUGAGAAGAGAGAACACAAUUAUUUCACCCUCACGCCUACUGUGGCCAUCUUAGUUUGGAUGACAUUCAAAAGCAAUUUAGAUCUUGCUGUGACGCAGCAUACGGAACCCUUGAAGUUUAACAGGACCGUUUGCUUGAAAGUAUGAUUAGAAACUAAAGGAACUGUUUGGAUUAUAUAACAUUCAAUUGCAAUAAGGUUGCGCUGGAAGUUUGAAAAGGGAGGUGGGUUGAAAUUUUUGGGUCGGGAAAAAGAGGGAAGGAACUUGCCCAAUUUGUUUGCAACUUAUAUUGGUUGUCUUGAAUCAUAAACCAAUCCAAAGCAGUAGUUUUCUUGAUGUGACAUACAACAAGGAACUCUUGGAAGUUUCAAAGUGGACCGCAUUGCAAAUUUUUCUUGGGAGGGAGGAAAGGAACACACACUAAUUUAGGGAAUUUUUUUUUAAUUACUGAUGUAACAUU